rnacentral:rRNA from 1 species
GGGAGAAAAGCAGGGGAUCGAAAGACCUUGCGCUUUUGGAGCGGCCGAUGUCUGAUUAGCUAGUUGGUGGGGUAAUGGCCUACCAAGGCAACGAUCAGUAGUUGGUCUGAGAGGAUGGCCAACCACACUGGGACUGAGACACGGCCCAGACUCCUACGGGAGGCAGCAGUGGGGAAUUUUGGACAAUGGGGGAAACCCUGAUCCAGCAAUGCCGCGUGAGUGAAGAAGGCCUUCGGGUUGUAAAGCUCUUUCAGUUGAGAAGAAAAGGUUGUGACUAAUAAUCAUAAUUUAUGACGGUAUCAACAGAAGAAGCACCGGCUAACUACGUGCCAGCAGCCGCGGUAAUACGUAGGGUGCAAGCGUUAAUCGGAAUUACUGGGCGUAAAGGGUGCGCAGGCGGUUAUGUAAGUCAAGGAUGUGUAAAUCCCCCGG